UGCUGCAUGGCUGUCGUCAGCUCGUGUCGUGAGAUGUUCGGGUUAAGUCCCGCAACGAGCGCAACCCUUGUCAUUAGUUGCUACAUUUAGUUGGGCACUCUAAUGAGACUGCCGGUGACAAACCGGAGGAAGGUGGGGAUGACGUCAAGUCCUCAUGGCCCUUAUAGGUAGGGCUACACACGUCAUACAAUGGAUGGUACAAAGGGUCGCCAACCCGCGAGGGGGAGCCAAUCCCAUAAAACCAUUCGUAGUCCGGAUCGCAGUCUGCAACUCGACUGCGUGAAGUCGGAAUCGCUAGUAAUCGUGGAUCAGAAUGUCACGGUGAAUACGUUCCCGGGUCUU
rnacentral:rRNA from 1 species